GGACUUAGUGAACGCAGCUAACGCAAUAAGUAGACCGCCUGGGGAGUACGGCCGCAAGGUUAAAACUCAAAUGAAUUGACGGGGGCCCGCACAAGCGGUGGAGCAUGUGGUUUAAUUCGAUGCAACGCGAAGAACCUUACCUGGUCUUGACAUAUCUAGAAUCCUGCAGAGAUGCGGGAGUGCCUUCGGGAAUUAGAAUACAGGUGCUGCAUGGCUGUCGUCAGCUCGUGUCGUGAGAUGUUGGGUUAAGUCCCGCAACGAGCGCAACCCUUGUCCUUAGUUACCAGCGGGUUAAGCCGGGAACUCUAAGGAUACUGCCAGUGACAAACUGGAGGAAGGCGGGGACGACGUCAAGUCAUCAUGGCCCUUACGACCAGGGCUACACACGUGCUACAAUGGUAGGUACAGAGGGCAGCUACACAGCGAUGUGAUGCGAAUCUCAAAAAGCCUAUCGUAGUCCAGAUUGGAGUCUGCAACUCGACUCCAUGAAGUAGGAAUCGCUAGUAAUCGCGGAUCAGAAUGCCGCGGUGAAUACGUUCCCGGGCCUUGUACACACCGCC
rnacentral:rRNA from 1 species